UACAGAGGUCCCAAGCGUUACUGAGAAUCACUGGGUUUAAAGGGUGCGUAGGUGGUCCGUUAAGUCAGUUGUGAAAUCCCCGGGCUCAACCCGGGAACUGCUUCUGAUACUGGCGGACUUGAGGCCAGUAGGGGUCACUAGAACUGACGGUGGAGCGGUGAAAUGCGUAGAUAUCGUCAGGAAUGCCGGUGGUGAAGACGGGUGACUGGGCUGGCUCUGACACUGAGGCACGAAAGCGUGGGGAGCGAACGGG
rnacentral:rRNA from 1 species